UACAGAGGUCUCAAGCGUUGUUCGGAAUUACUGGGCGUAAAGGGUGCGCAGGCCGCGCGGGCAGUCAUAUGUGUAAUCCAGGGGCUCAACCCCUGAACUGCGCUUGAUACCUCCGCGCUCGAGCUUUGGAGAGGAGUCUGGAAUUCUCGGUGUAGCAGUGAAAUGCGUGGAUAUCGAGAAGAACACUUAGGGCGUAGGCAAGACUCUGGAUAAACGCUGACGCUCAUGCACGAAGGCUAGGGUAGCGAACGGG
rnacentral:rRNA from 1 species